rnacentral:rRNA from 1 species
CGUGGGUAACCUGCCCAAGAGAUCGGGGUAACACCUGGAAACAGAUGCUAAUACCGGAUAACAACAGAUGAUGCCUAUCAACUGUUUAAAAGAUGGUUCUGCUAUCACUCUUGGAUGGACCUGCGGUGCAUUAGCUAGUUGGUAGGGUAACGGCCUACCAAGGCGAUGAUGCAUAGCCGAGUUGAGAGACUGAUCGGCCACAUUGGGACUGAGACACGGCCCAAACUCCUACGGGAGGCAGCAGUC